UACGUAGGCAGCAAGCGUUGUUCGGAGUUACUGGGCGUAAAGGGCGCGUAGGCGGCCACCGCAAGUCGACUGUGAAAUCUCCGGGCUUAACCCGGAAAGGUCAGCCGAUACUGCGGGGCCAGAGUGCAGAAGGGGCAACUGGAAUUCUCGGUGUAGCGGUGAAAUUCGUAGAUAUCGGGAGGAACACCAGUGGCGAAGGCGGCGAUCUGGGAAGAUACUGACGCUGAGGUGCGAAAGCGUGGGGAGCAAACAGG
rnacentral:rRNA from 1 species